UACGGGAGGCAGCAGUGGGGAAUCUUGCACAAUGGGCGAAAGCCUGAUGCAGCGACGCCGCGUGCGGGAAGAAGGCCCUCGGGUUGUAAACCGCUUUCAGCAGGGACGAGGCGCGAGUGACGGUACCUGCAGAAGAAGCCCCGGCUAACUACGUGCCAGCAGCCGCGGUAAU
rnacentral:rRNA from 1 species